AGUCGAGGCCGUGGAGGACGGGAGGACAUCCAGAGCUCAGCCCGGUAACAUGUCAUUGCCGGGGCCGCCCAGGGUUCGAGUCAGUCUAGAACAGGGCCUUUUACACAGUCUUUGGGCCAUUUGGCGGUUUUAAGAGGCGAGCGUCACAAGCAGCCCAGGGACAUUGGAGACCAGAUGCCACAAACUGAAAACCUUCGGGCCGGGCAGGUGACUGGCAGGUCCCUCUGGCCCUCCUCUGGACGGUCAGCUCAGCGCUGCAGGCUCCUGUGAGCACCGAGUGCCAGGCGCGGAGCAGUGCCUCACACGUGCUGACUCUCGGCCCAUCUACUGUCCACCCCUCUGGACAGUCCGCCCUGUGUGUGCAGUCUCAGGACUUCAGGUAUUUACCUUGGAUUCAUCCUCAUGAACCAGGCAUCCCCUCCUUACGCUAAGCCUCAGCCCUGCGACUACAGAUGGCCUGCAGCUUCUUUUCAUCAGGGAUGUACAUGAAAGGUUUCAUUUCUUAGAAGCUUCUCUGCUACGACUCCAGAGAAAGCGAUCAUGCCAAGACAUCAGAACUCCCUAGUCAUCACGUGGACUUGAGCAAGACAAGCUCUCAGAUCUUCAUGGGGCAGUCAUAACUAGCCUCCUGUAGGCUGCUCGUGGAGCUGAGGUAGGUGUUUACAGUUACUCCAGCAUGAAAAGGUUGGUGCCUUAGGAACAGAAAAGCAGAUCGUUGAAAAAGAUGAAUCAAUAUAGAAGAUCGUGCCACUUGGAGACAUCUUGGAGGCGGGGUUAUUUUCUUAAGACCCCAUCCUCUGAUUUGACCCAAACCCAGAGGUACUCUCUUCCCAUGGCCCCCAGAGGAACAUACAAACCAGUCUUUCCUUGGUAAUACAUCUGAUGUCACAGCUGUCGUUUUAUAAGCAGCCUUAAGAGUGAUCUUUUGAUUCUCCAUAUAAGUGAAAUAUUGUAUUCAUCUUUCACCAUCUGACUUAUUUCACUCAGCACAAUACCCUCUAGGUGCCCAGUGGGUACUUGAAAUAUUGGGGUGAUCAGUUUGUAAUGUAUAUGAUUGUCUACCACUAUGCUGUACACCUGAAGCUAAUACAAAAUAAUACUGAAUGUAAAGUGCAGUUGAAAAACAAACAUUUCUACCAUGCAAAUGGCAUUUACAUUUGUUUACUAUUAGAAAAAAAAAAAAA